AGAGUUUGAUCCUGGCUCAGAUUGAACGCUGGCGGCAUGCUUUACACAUGCAAGUCGAACGGGGUGAGGGGGCAACUCCUUGCUCAGUGGCGAACGGGUGAGUAAUGCAUCGGAACGUGUCCCGUAGUGGGGGAUAACUCGGCGAAAGCCGAGCUAAUACCGCAUAUGCUCUACGGAGGAAAGUGGGGGACCUGCAAGGGCCUCACGCUAUGGGAGCGGCCGAUGUCCGAUUAGCUUGUUGGUGGGGUAAUGGCCUACCAAGGCGACGAUCGGUAGCUGGUCUGAGAGGAUGAUCAGCCACACUGGGACUGAGACACGGCCCAGACUCCUACGGGAGGCAGCAGUGGGGAAUUUUGGACAAUGGGGGCAACCCUGAUCCAGCCAUGCCGCGUGCGGGAAGAAGGCCUUCGGGUUGUAAACCGCUUUUAGUCGGGAAGAAAAGGCGCGGGUUAAUAGUCCGCGUUCUUGACGGUACCGGCGGAAUAAGCACCGGCUAACUACGUGCCAGCAGCCGCGGUAAUACGUAGGGUGCGAGCGUUAAUCGGAAUUACUGGGCGUAAAGCGUGCGCAGGCGGUUCGCUGUGUCCUGUGUG
rnacentral:rRNA from 1 species